rnacentral:rRNA from 1 species
AGAGUUUGAUCAUGGCUCAGGACGAACGCUGGCGGCGUGCUUAACACAUGCAAGUCGAACGGUGAAGGGGAGCUUGCUCCCCGGAUCAGUGGCGAACGGGUGAGUAACACGUGGGCAACCUGCCCCAGACUUCGGGAUAACGCUUCGAAAGAGGUGCUAAUACCGGAUACGAACUCCUUGGGCAUCCCGGGAGUUGGAAAGUUUUUUCGGUCUGGGAUGGGCCCGCGGCCUAUCAGCUUGUUGGUGAGGUAACGGCUCACCAAGGCGACGACGGGUAGCCGGCCUGAGAGGGCGACCGGCCACACUGGGACUGAGACACGGCCCAGACUCCUACGGGAGGCAGCAGUGGGGAAUAUUGCGCAAUGGGCGAAAGCCUGACGCAGCAACGCCGCGUGAGGGAUGACGGCCUUCGGGUUGUAAACCUCUUUCAGCAGGGAAGAAGCGAAAGUGACGGUACCUGCAGAAGAAGCACCGGCUAACUACGUG